ensembl:lncRNA PURPL p53 upregulated regulator of p53 levels
GUGUGAGGUGGUGCUAUGUAGCAGGAACCCCUCUUGCUUUGCAAAUAGUUUUUUGUUUGUUUUCCUUUUUGCCCAAUAGAGCCCUGCUCUACUGACCCUUCAAUGUGCCCGUGUGCCUAAAUAUUCCUGGUCGUGUGAAAAGAACCCAGGUAUUAGCUGAACUAAGGAGCACAAUUCUGCAACAUUUUGGCACCCAAACACGGGGCUUGAGAAAUGAAUGCAAUUGGAGAAACUGGUUGUUUUACCAGGCGUUGAUUGGAAAUGUGUGCUUCCCUUUAAGCAGUCAAGCUCAACUUGCAGAACUGAUGGGAACCCCUUGGGAAAACUGGCCUCAAAUGUUUGUCUACACAGUCCACAUACAGGGUUCUUAACCUGCGGUGAGUAAAGAAUGUCACUUUCCAACAGGCCCAGAUAUCAUAUGCUCUUGGGACCUCAAGAAGAGAGGAGUUUACCCAAUUCAUAGGUGUGUGAGGAUAAAAACCUAGGGCUGGGCUCAGCUUUAAAUGGUCUUAUCUGAGAUUCUUUGUGAAACAGAUUUUCAUGAAAGCCAAUCUAGAGGGCCUACGUAGAAAUAAUUGUUUUUGCUGCACUUUAUGCACAUAAUCAAGCCAAUUAUAAGACUAAAGUCUAUAUUGCAAGCAACACACUCCUAUUAUGAUUUGUUUUUAACAGAAAUGAGGACGAGACAGAGAGAAAUUAUGUUUCAAAACUUAUCAUCAUUAGUUUCUAGACUUAUUAUUUCUUUUUAAGUUUUUACCUACAUUUUAGACUGACCCUGCUUGUGCCUGUGAACCAACCAACAAUCUCUGGCUGCAGCUCAGAAAGGACAAAAGAGAAUGGAUGAGGGAAACUUCCCAGGGCUUGUCUGGGUAUGCCCACAGUGGACUGGAGCCCAAAAUGCACACUGGAGGAAGUGGAUGGAGCCACGUGGAUGUCAUGCCUUAUGCAGGGGAGGAGCCUGCUCUCUUCAGCUCCUGUGGUAAUGUGGGAAUCGAUCUGUGAGGAAACACUUUCUGAAAAUGUCAGAACUCUUGAAAACAUGGAUGAGGAAAAGCAUAAGUACUGCUUUAUGCUUUUCUUAUGAAUUUUAAAAGAUGUAAUUUAAAGAUUGAAACUCCCACAACUUUGGCAGACCAACUCCUCAGAAAACAUUAUUCUUUGACAUCAAUAUGUUUUGCACAAAAUUGAAUGGCAAGUGAAAGGCAUCAAAUGCAUAUUUAACUAUCCGGCUAUUUUGGAGAUUGAAAAAAGAAGACCUGAUUUAUCAUGUGCAAUAUCUCACACAUCUGUCAUUUCUAUUCUACCGCAAUUCGAUGGAGUCUUGUUCUGUGGUCCAGGCUAGAGGGCAGUGGCAUGAUCUCGGCUCACUACAAGCUCUGCCUCCCGGGUUCACGCCAUUCUCCUGCCUCAGCCUCCUGAGUAGCUGGGACUACAGGCGCCCGCCACCACGCCUGGCUAAUUUUUUGUAUAUUUACUAGAGAUGGCUAGUGUUAGCCAAGAUGGUCUCGAUCUCCUGACCUCGUGAUCUGCCCACCUCAGCCUGCCAAAGUGCUGGGAUUACUGGCGUGAGCCACCGUGCCUGGCCAGCAUCCUCUAAUUAUUAUUCAUAGUUUGUGAAUUUAGGCCUACGUGAAUAAUAAUAUAAUAUUUACUAUGAUGUUACUAUCUACCAACCUUAUUUUUCUUUUCUAUAAAAUAGGAGCCAAAAUAAUAUUUAUGUCAUACCUUAUGAAGUUAAAAUAAAAUAUAACGAAUGAGG